CACCUGUCGCACGUGAAGACAGUGUCACCAGUGGAAGGAAAAAUUUCUCCAAAACUUAUUUGCUAUUAAAUACAGCAGACCUUUUCUCACGGAAGACAUUGUGACAUGCCGAGUUUGAAGAGGCACAGGUGUUGGUGUUGAAUUCUUUGAACAUGCCUAGAGGACUCCAUAGUAUUAAAAUAUAAGAACCCUUGUGCUAACAAGAUGAGGGUGUCUGUAAAUGGAUUCCCUCCUGGCUGGCCGUCUGACCCAGGUCCUCCCCCUGUGACCCUGUGGAUGAUUGCUGUGACUGAGACGUGUUUGAUCCCUGUGCUGAUGCUGGGCUUUUGAUGGUUUCCCCACUUUGAUGCCAUGACAAGAUUGAAUCCAACCACCCUCUGUGAAACACACACACACACA